rnacentral:tRNA from 1 species
UGGGGUGUAGCUCAGUGGUAAAGCGCUUGCCUCACAUGUAUGAAGCACUGUGUUCAAUCCUCAGCACCACAU